CGCCCCGCCCCACGCUCUUCCUCCUUGUGCAGCUUCCCUUUCGCCUUCUGCCAUGAUUGGAAGCCUCCUGAGGCCUGUGCAGCCACAGUUCCUGGUAAUGGGAAAGAACUUGACAAUUAUGGUCGUUCACUUGUGUCUCAGUUGCAUAUUUUGCCCGACUACAAGGAAGAAGCGUGAAAAUGCCCAUGUUUUCUUUUGACAGAUGAACUUUACCAUUUCAAGUGAAAGGAACAUAAACUCAAGGGACCCCUUCUGCCCUGCCGCACCCUCCUGUGGGGGUGGAGCAGCCAUCUGGAAGCAGUGAGGAUGAAACCCACCCUUAGGAUGGUGGCGUGGAAGACAGAAGGUACCCAGGACUCUGGGCACACGGAGCCCCCACCAGCCACGCACAGCCUGCCUCUGUGCCACUCAGGAUGUGAGGAAAACAAGCCUCCACCUGGGCAAGCCACUAAGUUGGACUUCUAUGACACGCAGGUGAAGGCACUCCCUAAUUAGGUUUCUCAGUGUUAUUGAUGUUAUGGGGGGAACAAUUCUGGAUUUUGUGGUUUCACACAUUAUUGAGGCAAGAGCCCAUGGCUCUCAGACCCUAAAUGCCAACAGCAUCCUUCAACUGAAAACAACCUUACACGUUCCCAAACUGCCUUCAGUUAUUCUUUGCUAUUUGAAUUAUCUCUGGAAACCAUGUCCAGCUGCAUUAGAAAUUAUUUUCCUAGCAUUAAAAAUCAAAGUCAACUACUCUGAACGUUAAAGACUCCAACUCUCCUUCUAUCUAGGCUCGAAUAACUAAGGACAGCACAAGUUAAAUCAAACAACACUGGGGAAGUUGCCUUGCUUCCAGAGCUUUUCAAAAUGCACUCACAGUGGCAUUCAACUCUUGCUUGUCAUUAUUAAUUUACGGCUGAACUACCUGAUUGGAAACACUAUGUUAAAAUGCCAAUUAUUAGCCCCAACCAAAUGAUGGUCUAAAUACGGAUUCAAGGGCUGGGCGCAGUGGCUCAC
rnacentral:lncRNA from 10 species